rnacentral:rRNA from 1 species
AGUCUAUUCAGAGGAACCUGUCCUGUAAUCGAUAGUCCACGUUUUUAAUUACUUAUGCCAAAAAUUUUCAUAUCGUCGUAGGUUGAAUAUUUUUUAAGAAUUUAAAUAUUCAAGAUUUUUAAAGAAAAUAAUUCAGAUCAAGGUGUAGUAUAUGUGUAAGAAGAGAUGGGUUACAAUAAAUUUAUUUAAACGGAAUGAUUUUUUUGAAUAAUCUGUAAGGCGGAUUUGAAAGUAAUUUUAUUUAAAUAUUUAAAAUGAUUUAAGCUCUAAAAUAUGUACAUAUCGCCCGUCACUUUCAUUUCAAGGUGGAAUAAGUCGUAACAAAGUAGGUGUACCGGAAGGUGUCCCUAGAAGCU